rnacentral:rRNA from 1 species
AUUGAACGCUGGCGGCAUGCCUUACACAUGCAAGUCGAACGGUAACGGGCCUUCGGGUGCCGACGAGUGGCGAACGGGUGAGUAAUACAUCGGAACGUGCCCGAUCGUGGGGGAUAACGAGGCGAAAGCUUUGCUAAUACCGCAUACGAUCUACAGAUGAAAGCAGGGGACCGCAAGGCCUUGCGCGGACGGAGCGGCCGAUGGCAGAUUAGGUAGUUGGUGGGAUAAAAGCUUACCAAGCCGACGAUCUGUAGCUGGUCUGAGAGGAUGAUCAGCCACACUGGGACUGAGACACGGCCCAGACUCCUACGGGAGGCAGCAGUGGGGAAUUUUGGACAAUGGGCGCAAGCCUGAUCCAGCCAUGCCGCGUGCAGGAUGAAGGCCUUCGGGUUGUAAACUGCUUUUGUACGGAACGAAAAGCCUUCUUUUAAUACAGGAGGGUCAUGACGGUACCGUAAGAAUAAGCACCGGCUAACUACGUG